ensembl:lncRNA
GUGAAGUAUGCUCAUAUCUACUAUAACUGAACCAACCUGGUGCUCUUCAUUUAUGGAGGCUGUUGAGUCUGAAUGUUGGAUGUUGUGUAUCUCGUGUUCUCUGGGCUUUGUUGUCCUCAGUCUUUUUGCAGGAUCAGAAAACAAAACCAGGAGGCGCGUAAAUGUUUCUUCUCCAUGAUGUUUCUUCAAAUGUUUCUUCUGGAUGAUGAUAAGACUGACACGGGAUGCCACCUUUGGUCUUGUGAUGAAGCAAAGCUCAGGAAGAAGUGUGAUUAAAUGGUACCCACAUGUGUGCUGCUGAGAAGGAUGUACAGGGGCACCUGCAGCCAAAUCCAAGCUUCAGAGCGGCAGUUUGUGCUCACAGAUGGUGACGGUGUGGAGAGACGGUGGUGUUUCCUCAGAAGAACCAGCAGAGUCACAAAGGACACCAGUCCAUCUCACCACCUUGACUUGCUGACUGAUGUUCGUCUACACUGCACAGAGGAAAUCAGCUGACCGAGGAGUGUUUCAGAGUGAGGGGGGAGGAGUCAUCAUCCAGGUAAAGUGACGUAGAUCAGUGGAUACACUUGUCUCCCCUUUAAAGGAGACGAUCCAAGUCAUCCUUAAAUAUGGGCAGCAUAUCAGUCUUGGACUGUCUAACCUGCAGCACUGAAUGACCACCACACAUGAGCAUGUUCCUGCAACAUUCAGCAUCUGAUCCUUCAUCUGUGUGCUUCUGCUUUUGGUAAGUAGAGUUACCCAACUCCAGUAACUCUAAACACAUGCCAUCCAUUUCUAACGGCCUGGUUACUUCCUGUCAGUUACUUUAGAAACCAUGUGGUCACCUGACCUAACACUGUUUCUUCUUCUUCCCCUUAAUGUUCAAGUGUCACAUGUCAAACAGCUGGAGAGGAAACUACACCAGCGUACUGAGAUGUUUCACCAACACGUGCCAGAUGCUGUUCCUUCAUGGUGACAUCACCAGAGACAGCCCCGCCCACCUCAGGACCUCGCCAUUGAUCAUGAUGAUUAUAAUGAUGACAG